GCCCCUGUAGCUCAAUGGACAGAGUACCUCCCUUCUAAGAAGGUGAUAUAGGUUCGAUUCCUAUCAGGGGCACCA
rnacentral:tRNA from 3 species